AUGGUGGGAAGUUUAGAAGCGGAGCUUGGAUUGCACCCAACCCAGAUAUGGAGGGCAAUCUUGGACGGCCGCGACAUCUCGGUGCAAGGCAUUGUCCCAAGGAUUCGAGAUGGUGAGACUACAAACAUAUGGGCACACAACUCGAUUUCGAGAGACAACAUUAAGAGGCCAAUUACUUCCCUUGUACAGUACCCGCCAUCGAAGGUAGCACAGCUCAUCGAUGCUACUAUAGCGUCAUGGAAGGAGGAUCUGGUUCGGUCCACGUUCACCCCGUUUGAUGCUUCGGAGAUACUCAAGAUACCUUUGUGCACCGGCAAGGUAACUGAUUUUUGGGCAUGGCAUGAAGAGAGCCACGGCAUUUUAAGUGUACGUUCUGCGUACCAUGUGAUAUUGCGUACAAAGCUCGGUCAGGAGGCUUGGUUACAUGAAGAUGAUGGAUCUGAUGUGUAG
rnacentral:rRNA from 1 species